rnacentral:rRNA from 1 species
AACGAACGCUGGCGGCAUGCCUAACACAUGCAAGUCGAACGAGACCUUCGGGUCUAGUGGCGCACGGGUGCGUAACGCGUGGGAACCUGCCCUUAGGUUCGGAAUAACUCCCCGAAAGGGGUGCUAAUAUCGGAUAAUGUCUUCGGACCAAAGAUUUAUCGCCUUUGGAUGGGCCCGCGUUGGAUUAGCUAGUUGGUAGGGUAAAAGCCUACCAAGGCGACGAUCCAUAGCUGGUCUGAGAGGAUGAUCAGCCACACUGGGACUGAGACACGGCCCAGACUCCUACGGGAGGCAGCAGUGGGGAAUAUUGGACAAUGGGCGAAAGCCUGAUCCAGCAAUGCCGCGUAAGUGAUGAAGGCCUUAGGGUUGUAAAGCUCUUUUACCCGGGAUGAUAAUGACAGUACCGGGAGAAUAAGCUCCGGCUAACUCCGUG